UACGUAGGGGGCAAGCGUUGUCCGGAAUCAUUGGGCGUAAAGCGCGCGUAGGCGGCCCGGUAAGUCCGUUGUGAAAGUCAAAGGCUCAACCUUUGAACGCCGAUGGAUACUGCCGGGCUAGAGUCCGGAAGAGGCGGAGUGGAAUUCCUGGUGUAGCGGUGGAAGUGCGCAGAUAUCAGGAGGAACACCGAUUGCGAAGGCAGCUCGCUGGGACGUUACUGACGCUGAGACGCGAAAGCGUGGGGAGCGAACAGG
rnacentral:rRNA from 1 species